rnacentral:rRNA from 2 species
UUCGCAAUGCCCGAAAGGGUGACGAAGCGACGCCGCGUGGGUGAGGAAGGCCUUCGGGUUGUAAAGCCCUGUCAGGAGUUAAGAAAUGUAAGUGCGCUAAUAUCGCAUUUAUUUGACGAAGGCUCCAAAGGAAGUCACGGCUAACUCUGUGCCAGCAGCCGCGGUAAUACGGAGGUGGCAAGCGUUGUUCGGAAUUAUUGGGCGUAAAGAGCACGUAGGUGGGUUUGCAAGUCAGAUGUGAAAGCCUCCUGUUCAACGGGAGAAUUGCAUCUGAAACUGCAGAUCUUGAGUGUAGGAGGGGAGAAUGGAACUUCUGGUGGAGCGGUGAAAUGCGUAGAUAUCAGAAGGAACGCCGGCGGCGAAAGCGAUUCUCUGGCCUAUUACUGACACUCAGUGUGCGAAAGCUAGGGGAGCAAACGGGAUUAGAUACCCCGGUAGUCCUAGCCGUAAACGAUGGGCACUAAGUAGAGGGGUUUU